rnacentral:rRNA from 1 species
GGCUCAGAUUGAACGCUGGCGGCAUGCCUUACACAUGCAAGUCGAACGGCAGCACGGGUGCUUGCACCUGGUGGCGAGUGGCGAACGGGGUGAGUAAUAUAUCGGAACGUACCUUAUCGUGGGGGAUAACGCAGCGAAAGCUGCGCUAAUACCGCAUACGCCCUGAGGGGGAAAGCGGGGGGACCGUAAGGCCUCGCGCGAUUAGAGCGGCCGAUAUCUGAUUAGCUUGUUGGUGGGGUAAAAGCCUACCAAGGCGACGAUCAGUAGCUGGUCUGAGAGGACGAUCAGCCACACUGGGACUGAGACACGGCCCAGACUCCUACGGGAGGCAGCAGUGGGGAAUUUUGGACAAUGGGGGCAACCCUGAUCCAGCAAUGCCGCGUGCAGGAAGAAGCAUCUAUGGUGUGUAAACUGCUUUUGUACGGGAAGAAACACUCCUUCGUGAAGGAGCUUGACGGUACCGUAAGAAUAAGGAUCGGCUAACUCCGUG